rnacentral:tRNA from 1 species
GGGUCCAAGCACAGUGGUAGAGCGUUUGACUGCAGAUCAAGAGGUCAUUGGUCCGAACCUGGUUGGGCCCU